UACGUAGGUGGCAAGCGUUGUCCGGAUUUACUGGGCGUAAAGAGCGCGCAGGCGGUCGUCCAAGUCGCGUGUGAAAGCCCCCGGCUCAACUGGGAGGGUCACGCGAUACUGGUCGACUCGAAGGCAGGAGAGGGUAGUGGAAUUCCCGGUGUAGUGGUGAAAUGCGUAGAUAUCGGGAGGAACACCAGUGGCGAAGGCGACUACCUGGCCUGUUCUUGACGCUGAGGCGCGAAAGCUAGGGGAGCAAACAGG
rnacentral:rRNA from 1 species